UACGAAGGGGGCUAGCGUUGCUCGGAAUCACUGGGCGUAAAGCGCACGUAGGCGGAUUGCUAAGUCAGGGGUGAAAUCCUGGAGCUCAACUCCAGAACUGCCCUUGAUACUGGCGGUCUCGAGUCCGGGAGAGGUGAGUGGAACUGCGAGUGUAGAGGUGAAAUUCGUAGAUAUUCGCAAGAACACCAGUGGCGAAGGCGGCUCACUGGCCCGGUACUGACGCUGAGGUGCGAAAGCGUGGGGAGCAACAGG
rnacentral:rRNA from 1 species